rnacentral:rRNA from 1 species
AUUGAACGCUGGCGGCAGGCCUAACACAUGCAAGUCGAACGGUAACAGGAAACAGCUUGCUGUUUCGCUGACGAGUGGCGGACGGGUGAGUAAUGUCUGGGAAACUGCCUGAUGGAGGGGGAUAACUACUGGAAACGGUAGCUAAUACCGCAUAACGUCGCAAGACCAAAGAGGGGGACCCUCGGGCCUCUUGCCAUCGGCUGUGCCCAGAUGGGAUUAGCUUGUUGGUGGGGUAACGGCUCACCAAGGCGACGAUCCCUAGCUGGUCUGAGAGGAUGACCAGCCACACUGGAACGGAGGCACGGUCAAGAGUCCUACGGGAGGCAGCAGUGGGGAAUAUUGCACAAUGGGCGCAAGCCUGAUGCAGCCAUGCCGCGUGUAUGAAGAAGGCCUUCGGGUUGUAAAGUACUUUCAGCGGGGAGGAAGGGAGUAAAGUUAAUACCUUUGCUAAUUGACGUUACCCGCAGAAGAAGCACCGGCUAACUACGUG